UAAUCUUUUCUCAAUUAUUAAUUAUUAAUAUAUGACAACUACUUAAUUACACUAUUCUUUAUUUGUGUCUGUGUUUAGGGUGUAAUUGAGUGUCCUUGUCCAGAUAAAGAUAUCAGGAGAUUUGAUGCAAAUAUGCGGUUGUUUCCCCCAUUUAUUGAUAAUGAUAUAUGCCCUUUAACCAUUAAAAACACCAUUCUUCAGUCAUGUUACUUGAGAAACACAGAGUGGGCUUGUGGAGUGGCUGUCUAUACAGGUAAUGAAACCAAAAUGGGCAUGAGUAGAGGUAUACCAGAACCAAAGCUCACUGCUAUGGACGCCAUGAUUGACAAGUUGACUGGCGCUAUUUUUAUAUUCCAAAUAGUUGUUGUUCUUGUUCUUGGCAUAGCAGGGAAUGUUUGGAAGGAGACAGAAGCUAAGAAGCAAUGGUAUGUUCUUUACCCUCAUGAAGGUCCGUGGUAUGAACUGUUGGUCAUCCCUUUGCGGUUUGAGCUUCUCUGUUCCAUCAUGAUACCCAUUUCAAUUAAGGUAUCUCUGGAUUUGGUGAAGAGCUUGUAUGCAAAAUUUAUUGACUGGGACAAUCAGAUGAUUGACCAUGAGACUAGCAUUCCAUCCCAUGCAACAAAUACAGCGAUAAGUGAGGACCUGGGACAAGUUGAGUACAUUUUGACUGACAAAACAGGAACACUUACUGAGAAUAAGAUGAUAUUUAGAAGAUGUUGUAUUGGUGGCAAUUUCUACGGAAAUGAAAAUGGAGAUGCAUUGAAGGAUGUAGAGCUUAUCAAUGCUGUGUCCAGUGGUUCUUCAGAUGUUGUACGAUUUCUUACAAUUAUGGCAAUAUGUAAUACUGUCAUACCUACGCGAAGCAAAACUGGAGAUAUCUUGUAUAAAGCACAGUCUCAAGAUGAGGAUGCCCUUGUUCAGGCUGCUGCUCAAUUGCAUAUGAUUUACUUUAAUAAGAGUGGAAAUAUUCUUGAAGUCAACUUCAACUCUUCAAUACUUCAGUAUGAAGUCCUGGAAAUCCUAGAGUUCACCUCUGAUAGGAAAAGAAUGUCAGUAGUAUUGAAGGAUUGCCAAAAUGGAAAGAUCCUUCUAUUGUCGAAAGGAGCAGAUGAGGCUAUUCUUCCGUUUGCUCGUGCGGGGCAGCAGACUCGACAUUUCAUUGAAGCUGUGGAGCAGUAUGCUCACUUGGGAUUGCGUACAUUAUGUUUGGGUUGGCGUGAGUUAAAAAAAGAUGAAUAUAGAGAAUGGUCUUUGAUGUUUAAAGAGGCCAGCAGCACUUUGGUUGAUAGGGAGUGGAGAGUAGCUGAGGUCUGUCAACGAGUAGAACAUGACUUGGAAAUUCUUGGUGUAACAGCAAUAGAGGAUCGUUUACAGGAUGGAGUGCCUGAAACGAUAGAAACUCUAAGAAAAGCUGGAAUAAAUUUUUGGAUGCUAACUGGAGAUAAGCAGAAUACAGCAAUACAAAUCGCUCUGUCAUGUAAUUUUAUUUCCCCAGAACCAAAGGGACAGCUUCUAUCAAUUGAUGGAAAAACAGAGGAAGAGGUUUGUAGGAGUUUAGAAAGAGUGCUACGAACUAUGCGGAUAACUACCUCAGAACCCAAGGAUGUGGCUUUUGUUGUUGAUGGUUGGGCACUUGAGAUUGCACUUACUCACUACCGUAAAGCUUUCACUGAGCUGGCAGUUUUGUCGAGGACCGCUAUAUGUUGUCGUGUGACACCAUCACAAAAAGCACAGCUUGUUCAGAUCUUAAAAUCAUGUGAUUAUCGAACAUUGGCUAUUGGUGAUGGUGGAAAUGAUGUAAGGAUGAUACAACAAGCUGAUAUUGGUGUGGGUAUCAGUGGCAGAGAAGGAUUGCAGGCAGCAAGAGCAGCUGAUUACAGUAUUGGAAAGUUUAGAUUCCUGAAGAGAUUGAUUCUGGUCCAUGGCCGCUACUCAUACAACCGCACAGCAUUUCUUUCUCAAUAUUCAUUCUACAAGUCCCUACUGAUUUGCUUCAUCCAAAUCUUUUUUUCAUUUAUUUCAGGUGUCUCUGGAACUAGCCUCUUCAAUUCUGUUAGCUUGAUGGCUUACAAUGUUUUCUACACCAGUGUCCCUGUUCUAGUCAGCGUGCUUGACAAAGAUCUUAGUGAGGAAACUGUAAUGCAACAUCCGCAAAUUUUAUUUUACUGCCAAGCGGGAAGGCUUCUGAAUCCUAGUACAUUUGCUGGAUGGUUUGGGCGAUCUCUGUUCCAUGCAAUAGUUGUAUUUGUGAUAAGCAUACAUGCCUAUGCUUAUGAUAAAAGUGAAAUGGAAGAGGUUUCAAUGGUUGCACUUUCGGGUUGUAUAUGGUUACAGGCUUUUGUAGUGACAAUGGAGACCAAUUCCUUUACUAUAUUGCAACAUAUGGCUAUAUGGGGUAAUUUGGCUGCCUUUUAUGUCAUUAACUGGAUCUUCAGCGCUCUUCCUUCAUCAGGGAUGUAUACAAUUAUGUUCAAGUUGUGUCAUCAGCCGUCAUAUUGGAUAACAGUAUCUCUCAUGGUUGCGGCAGGGAUGGGUCCCAUUCUAGCUAUCAAGUACUUCCGAUAUACAUAUAGACCGAGCAAAAUCAAUACAUUGCAGCAAGCUGAACGUGUGGGCGGGCCAAUUUUGUCUCUUGGCCCCAUUGAGCCUCAGCCGAGAUCUAUAGAGAAAGAUGUUUCUACCUUGUCAAUAACACAACCCAAAAACAGAAAUCCUGUGUAUGAACCACUGUUGUCAGAUUCCCCGAAUGCUACCAGAAGAUCUUUCGGAUCAGGAACACCAUUUGAUUUUUUCCAGUCACAAUCAAGAUCAUCUCUGUCUAACUACACAAGAAAGGACAACUGAGAUUAAGGAGCAACUGGAUGAGCACCAGAUGCCGCAUCUUAGUUUUAGGGGGUUAUAUUGCAUUUAUUAAAGAGUAAUACAACUGGUGGCUAUCAAGAAAGUGGGCAGGUUGCAGAUGAAUAGAAGUAGUGACAGUUUUAAUGCUUACCUCAGGAGAACUUAAUCCUCUAAAGUAUGCUCCUCACCAAUCGUUGUCAGAACCCUGCUGCAAAUUGCAUGGCUAUUGGCGAGUAAGCGAUGAUUAUAAUAGAGUAAACAAUUAAUUAGUCUCUGCAAUUACAAUUACUCGUUGUUGUUGUCCAUGAAAUUAUGAAAUUAAUACUCUUGAUAAUGUCUUUUGAGCAUCAGUUAAUUUAGUUUUAAAUGUUGGGGAUUAAAUCAAUUGGUAAUCGAGAAAUCCAUUACAUCAAGUUGGCAAUGAUUGUUAACUUUCUGGAACUAAAUUGUUUGAC